GUGGGGAAUAUUGCACAAUGGGCGGAAGCCUGAUGCAGCAACGCCGCGUGCUGGAUGACGGCCUUCGGGUUGUAAACCGCUUUCAGCAGGGACGAAGCGCAAGUGACGGUACCUGCAGAAGAAGCACCGGCUAACUACGUGCCAGCAGCCGCGGUGAUACGUAGGGUGCGAGCGUUGUCCGGAUUUAUUGGGCGUAAAGAGCUUGUAGGCGGUUGGUUGCGUCGAAAGUGCAAACUCAGGGCUUAACUCUGAGCCUGCUUUCGAUACGGGCUGACUGGAGGAAGGUAGGGGAGAAUGGAAUUCCCGGUGGAGCGGUGGAAUGCGCAGAUAUCGGGAGGAACACCAGUGGCGAAGGCGGUUCUCUGGACCUUUCCUGACGCUGAGAAGCGAAAGCGUGGGGAGCAAACAGGCUUAGAUACCCUAGUAGUCC
rnacentral:rRNA from 1 species